rnacentral:rRNA from 1 species
CGCAGCUGUAUGGAGCACACCGCGUGAGUGAAGAAGGGUUUCGGCUCGUAAAGCUCUGUUGUUAAAGAAGAACACGUAUGAGAGUAACUGUUCAUACGUUGACGGUAUUUAACCAGAAAGUCACGGCUAACUACGUGCCAGCAGCCGCGGUAAUACGUAGGUGGCAAGCGUUAUCCGGAUUUAUUGGGCGUAAAGAGAGUGCAGGCGGUUUUCUAAGUCUGAUGUGAAAGCCUUCGGCUUAACCGGAGAAGUGCAUCGGAAACUGGAUAACUUGAGUGCAGAAGAGGGUAGUGGAACUCCAUGUGUAGCGGUGGAAUGCGUAGAUAUAUGGAAGAACACCAGUGGCGAAGGCGGCUACCUGGUCUGCAACUGACGCUGAGACUCGAAAGCAUGGGUAGCGAACAGGAUUAGAUACC